UUAUAACCUUAUGAACAAGGCAAGAAGUUGAAAACAGUUCAGCUUCAUUUGCUGUGCCUCUACUUUUUGUUCUAUAUUUUUGAUAUAUUUUUUGGUUUUAAAUGUCAGAAUAUCAAUGCUUUCAAUAAUCAGUGUUCUUACUUGUUUACCCAUAAUUUUCUCUCUCUCUCUCUCUUUUUUUUUUUUAAUUUGGAUAGUUCUGUGCUUCCACUUACUUCAUUUUCCUUCGGCCUGAAGAACUUUUAGUAUUGCUUAUGUAAUAUAAGCAGUUAAUAUAAGCAGGUCUGGGGCAGUUAAUUCGUUCAGCUUUUUUUUUGUUUGUUUGAAAGGUCUUAAUCACACCUUCAUUAUUGAAGGGUAUUUUCCUUGGACGUGGAAUUCCCAGAUGGGCAGUUCUAUUUGGCACCUUAAAAGUUAGCAUUCUCUCGUCCUCUCAUUUCUGUAUUUUUUGUGGGAAAGUCAGCUUAAAACCCUUUUGCCCCUUGUAGGUAACGUGUCUGUCUUUUCUGGCUGCUUUUAGAAUUCUUUCUUUAUCUUUGUUUUUAGCAGUUUGACUGUACUGAGUGGCUUUCAUUUUGUUUGUCAUGCUUGGGGUUUCCUGAGCUUUUGAAGCUGUGGAUUGAUGUGUUCCAUCAGUUUUGAAAGAUUACCCUCACAAAUUACUUCUACUCUAUUAUCACUCCUCUCUGACACUCUGGUUACAAAUACGGCUUCCCUGAAAGCUCAGUUGGUAAAGAAUCCACCUGCAAUGCAGGAGACCUGGGUUCGAUCCCUUGGUUGGAAAGAUCUCCUGGAGAAGGGAAAGGCUACCCACUCCAGUAUUCUGGCCUGGAGAAUCCCAUGGACUUACCCCAUGAGUCGCAAAGAGUCGGACAUGACUGAAUGACUUUCACUUCACUUUCCCUUUCCCUGUUCUUUCUACUUGUUUUUUCUCUGUGCUUCACUGUUUUGAGUAUUUUCUAUUAACCCAUCUUCAGAUUUAUCAAGCCUAUCUUGUGCCCUGUCCAGUCUUCUAUGUAACCCACCUGAUUAGUUGAUUUCAAACAUUAUACUUUUUAGUUUUAGAAUGUUAUAUUUUAUAGAUUUCAUUUCUCUGUUGAAUGUCUCUUUCUAUGCUUUUCUCUCAUUUAUAAAAAUAUGCAACUGGCAGAGAUUGGAAUUAUAUAACUAACUAUUCAUCAUCUGUGGACCUGAUACUAUUGCCUAAUUCUUUUUUUUCUUCAUUAUCAGUCACAUUUUCUCUGGUCACAUUCCUUUCUCUCACCUUUCAGGGCUUUUAAUUUUUUUCUCUAUUGCAGGAGAAUGUGCAUAAAAGAACUGAAGGAUUGAAGUUGAUGUGAUUCCGCACCCCCACCCCCCAGGAGAGAAUUUGUUUUGUUUUCUGUUAGGCAAUUGAUUACCUCAAUCCAUGGAAUUGGGCUUGGAUUGCAGCUUAUGUUAGACUCAAACUUGUUUCAAAAGUUUUGGGACUUGUGUUAUGUGUUAUGUGAAGGCCUUCCCCUUUAGCACAGCAAGACUGUGAUUUCAUUCAGCUUUUCCCUCCAGCCCAGACUCUCAACAGGAGGGCAGUUUUACAAAGGAUCAUCAAAGAAGGUUCUCUGAGAAGGUGACAUCUGAUUGUGGACUUUGAUGAAGCGAGGGAAUAAAACCAAACCACAUGAGGGGAAAAAAGAAUACUACAGCCCCCACUUCUUGUUGGAGAAGCAUCAGUGAUGUUGUAAG
ensembl:lncRNA